CAGUCGCCGCGGUAAUACAGAGGGUGCGAGCGUUAAUCGGAUUUACUGGGCGUAAAGCGUGCGUAGGCGGCUAAUUGAGUCGGAUGUGAAAUCCCCGAGCUUAACUUGGGAAUUGCAUUCGAUACUGGUUAGCUAGAGUGUGGGAGAGGAUGGUAGAAUUCCAGGUGUAGCGGUGAAAUGCGUAGAGAUCUGGAGGAAUACCGAUGGCGAAGGCAGCCAUCUGGCCUAACACUGACGCUGAGGUACGAAAGCAUGGGGAGCAAACAGGAUUAGAUACCCCAGUAGUCCCUGUCUCUUAUAU
rnacentral:rRNA from 1 species